rnacentral:ncRNA from 24 species
CGUCCCGAUGGGGAUGGAGUUCCCCGAAACCGCCCGUCAGGGCUGAUGACUCCUACCGCGAA